rnacentral:rRNA from 1 species
AUUGAACGCUGGCGGCAGGCCUAACACAUGCAAGUCGAGCGAGCGGCGGACGGGUGAGUAAUGUAUGGGGACUGCCCGAUAGAGGGGGAUAACUACUGGAAACGGUGGCUAAUACCGCAUACUAUCGGAUAACCCAUAUGGGAUUAGCUAGUAGGUGGGGUAAAGGCUCACCGAGGCGACGAUCUCUCGCUGGUCUGAGAGGAUGAACAUCCACCCGGGGACUGAGACACUGCCCAUACUCCUACGGAGUCAGCAGUGGGGAAGAUUGCACAAUGGGCGCAAGCCUGAUGCAGCCUGGCCGCGUGUAUGAAGAAGGCCGUAGGGUUGUAAAGUACUUUCAGCGGGGAUGCGUUACCCGCAGAAGAAGCACCGGCUAACUCCGUGCCAGCAGCCGCGGUAAUUC